ensembl:snRNA U6 U6 spliceosomal RNA
AUGCUUGCUUUGGCAGCAUAUAUACCAAAACUGAAGCAAUACAGAGAAGGUUAGCAUAAACCCUGUGCAAGAAUGACACGCAAAUUCCUGAAGCAUUCAGAGGAAAA